rnacentral:rRNA from 1 species
AGAGUUUGAUCCUGGCUCAGAUUGAACGCUGGCGGCAGGCUUAACACAUGCAAGUCGAGCGGAGAUGAGGUGCUUGCACCUUAUCUUAGCGGCGGACGGGUGAGUAAUGCUUAGGAAUCUGCCUAUUAGUGGGGGACAACAUUCCGAAAGGAAUGCUAAUACCGCAUACGUCCUACGGGAGAAAGCAGGGGAUCUUCGGACCUUGCGCUAAUAGAUGAGCCUAAGUCGGAUUAGCUAGUUGGUGGGGUAAAGGCCUACCAAGGCGACGAUCUGUAGCGGGUCUGAGAGGAUGAUCCGCCACACUGGGACUGAGACACGGCCCAGACUCCUACGGGAGGCAGCAGUGGGGAAUAUUGGACAAUGGGGGGAACCCUGAUCCAGCCAUGCCGCGUGUGUGAAGAAGGCCUUAUGGUUGUAAAGCACUUUAAGCGAGGAGGAGGCUACUGAGACUAAUACUCUUGGAUAGUGGACGUUACUCGCAGAAUAAGCACCGGCUAACUCUGUGCCAGCAGCCGCGGUAAUACAGAGGGUGCGAGCGUUAAUCGGAUUUACUGGGCGUAAAGCGUGCGUAGGCGGCUUUUUAAGUCGGAUGUGAAAUCCCCGAGCUUAACUUGGGAAUUGCAUUCGAUACUGGGAAGCUAGAGUAUGGGAGAGGAUGGUAGAAUUCCAGGUGUAGCGGUGAAAUGCGUAGAGAUCUGGAGGAAUACCGAUGGCGAAAGCAGCCAUCUGGCCUAAUACUGACGCUGAGGUACGAAAGCAUGGGGAGCAAACAGGAUUAGAUACCC